UCGAGGAUCUUCGUCAAUGGGCGCAAGCCUGAACGAGCGAUGCCGCGUGAGCGAUGAAGGCCUUCGGGUUGUAAAGCUCAAAAGAAGCGAGAAAGGGAAACUUGAUCAAGCUUCAGUAAGCUCGGGCUAAGUUCGUGCCAGCAGCCGCGGUAAGACGAACCGAGCGAACGUUGUUCGGAAUCACUGGGCUUAAAGGGCGCGUAGGCGGGUGCUCAAGUCCGGGGUGAAAUCCCACAGCUCAACUGUGGAACUGCCUCGGAUACUGGGCGUCUCGAGGGUGGCAGGGGUAUGCGGAACUAUCGGUGGAGCGGUGAAAUGCGUUGAUAUCGAUAGGAACUCCGGUGGCGAAGGCGGCAUACUGGUCCACUUCUGACGCUGAGGCGCGAAAGCCAGGGGAGCGAACGGGAUUAGAUACCCCGGUAGUCC
rnacentral:rRNA from 1 species